GGCGGGCCCGUCACCCGUCACUGUGCCCACCCCUCCCUCCGGGACCGGCAGAGACGGGGUCGAAAGUAAAGGGCGGGCCGGCGCCGCGUCACCCCCGAGACCGGGGUGCGCCCGACCCCAGCAGGGCCGCCCAUCCGAGACUCAUCCUGGGUGUUCCCUCCCUCCCUCGCUGAAACCAAUAAAGAUGUAGUUUAAGAAAUAAAAGGGUGAACGUCACGGCUUGUGGAGCGUGUCAGUAAAGCGCCGGCUGUGAGUCGGGCUGUAACUUUAGCUCCCUUUUCGUUUCAGGGGCCAGUCUGGGGUCGGAAGGCCUCACGGAGGCGGCCCCGAGGGGUCCCCAGCGCUGUCAAGGCCGGGCCGCGGCGGUCAGCGGGAGGCAGGUCCUGGGGCGCAGGGGGCCCGGGCCUUCGUGCCCCGUAAGCCGGGCCCGUGGGUUCUGGGCGUGAACUCGGGCCUGGCUUCCUCGGGUGGUAGCGGGUACAUGUUUUUUCAGAACCUCCUUGGCAAAACCAACGACAGAGGUCUCCCAAAUUUGGGGGUGGGGAGGGCGUUUUCUGGUGAUGAAAUCCAGACCCCUUCGCGGGCCGCCUGCCUUGGAGGCCGGGGGACGGCGCUGGAGUUUGGGCUUGGGUCAGAGUGGCCGACAGGACACGCAGGUCACCCAGAGGGCCAGUGCCAGGCCAACGGACAGGUGGAGGGUCAGCACAAGACCUCACCUGUCAUCUCUAAAGAACCUGCCGCCCUGGCCGCUGUGGCUCAGGCAGCUGGAGUGUUGUCCUGUACCCCAAAAGGAAAAAUGUGAAAACAAAAUAGCCAAUAUGUCAUUCAGAAACCAACGAACGUUUUAAAAACAGUAACCGACACACCUCUUCCUCAGGGCUACAGCGAUCUGCCCCCAACAAUGAGCAACACCUCCCACCUUCUCACAGGACACACACAGGAAGGAGACACCAUCUGGGCCAAGACGAAAUGAAAAGCCUUGUGUUCCAGGCACCAAGUACUUUAAAAAUUUUUACUGGCUCCUGUGCAGCAUUUCACUCAACCAUUUUUAGAAGAGGGAGGGGGGUGGGUAAACAAAAUUAUC